rnacentral:rRNA from 1 species
CUACGGGGUGCAGCAGUGGGGAAUAUUGGACAAUGGGGGAAACCCUGAUCCAGCAAUGCCGCGUGUGUGAAGAAGGCCUGCGGGUUGUAAAGCACUUUCGGUUGGGAGGACUGCUUCUAGCACUAAUAUUGUUGGAAGUUGACGUUACCUUCAGAAGAAGCACCGGCUAACUCCGUGCCAGCAGCCGCGGUACGACGGAGGGUGCAAGCGUUAAUCGGAAUUACUGGGCGUAAAGCGCGCGUAGGCGGCUAGAUCAGUCGGGUGUGAAAGCCCCGGGCUUAACCUGGGAACUGCAUCCGAUACUGUCUAGCUUGAGUACAGGAGAGGAGAGUGGAAUUCCACAUGUAGCGGUGAAAUGCGUAGAUAUGUGGAGGAACACCAAUGGCGAAGGCAGCUCUCUGGCCUGAUACUGACGCUGAGGUGCGAAAGCGUGGGGAGCAAACAGGAUUAGAUACCCCCGUAGUC